rnacentral:rRNA from 1 species
GACGAACGCUGGCGGCGUGCUUAACACAUGUAAGUCGAACGGAAAGGCCCUGCUUUUGUGGGGUGCUCGAGUGGCGAACGGGUGAGUAACACGUGAGUAACCUGCCCUUGACUUUGGGAUAACUUCAGGAAACUGGGGCUAAUACCGGAUAGGAGCUCCUGCUGCAUGGUGGGGGUUGGAAAGUUUCGGCGGUUGGGGAUGGACUCGCGGCUUAUCAGCUUGUUGGUGGGGUAGUGGCUUACCGAGGCUUUGACGGGUAGCCGGCCUGAGAGGGUGACCGGCCACAUUGGGACUGAGAUACGGCCCAGACUCCUACGGGAGGCAGCGGUGGGGAAUAUUGCACAAUGGGCGGAAGCCUGAUGCAGCAACGCCGCGUGCGGGAUGACGGCCUUCGGGUUGUAAACCGCUUUCGCCUGUGACGAAGCGUGAGUGACGGUAAUGGGUAAAGAAGCACCGGCUAACUACGUG